rnacentral:rRNA from 1 species
GAUGAACGCUAGCGGCAGGCUUAACACAUGCAAGUCGAGGGGCAGCAUAAUGGUUAGCCAUAUCUAUGGUGGCGACCGGCGCACGGGUGCGUAACGCGUAUGCAACCUACCUUUAACAGGGGGAUAACACUGAGAAAUUGGUACUAAUACCCCAUAAUAUCAUAGAAGGCAUCUUUUAUGGUUGAAAAUUCCGAUGGUUAGAGAUGGGCAUGCGUUGUAUUAGCUAGUUGGUGGGGUAACGGCCCACCAAGGCGACGAUACAUAGGGGGACUGAGAGGUUAACCCCCCACACUGGGACUGAGGCACGGACCAGACUCCGACGGGAGGCAGCAGUGAAGAAUAUUGGUCAAUGGACGCAAGUCUGAACCAGCCAUGCCGCGUGCAGGAUGACGGCGCUAUGAGUUGUAAACUGCUUUUGUACGAGGGUAAACGCAGAUACGUGUAUCGGUCUGAAAGUAUCGUACGAAUAAGGAUCGGCUAACUCCGUG